GGUUCGAUGGUGUAGUUGGUUUAUCACUUCUGUUUCACAGCUUCGGAAGCUCCACAGGCGGUGCUCGGUUCGAACCCGGGUCGAAUCA